AACGAACGCUGGCGGCGGGCUUAACACAUGCAAGUCGAGCGCCCCGCAAGGGGAGCGGCAGACGGGUGAGUAACGCGUGGGAACGUACCUUUUGGUUCGGAACAACUCCGGGAAACUGGAGCUAAUACCGGAUAAGCCCUAACGGGGAAAGAUUUAUCGCCGAAAGAUCGGCCCGCGUCUGAUUAGCUAGUUGGUGAGGUAACGGCUCACCAAGGCGACGAUCAGUAGCUGGUCUGAGAGGAUGAUCAGCCACACUGGGACUGAGACACGGCCCAGACUCCUACGGGAGGCAGCAGUGGGGAAUAUUGGACAAUGGGCGCAAGCCUGAUCCAGCCAUGCCGCGUGAGUGAUGAAGGCCUUAGGGUUGUAAAGCUCUUUUGUCCGGGAAGAUAAUGACUGUACCGGAAGAAUAAGCCCCGGCUAACUUCGUG
rnacentral:rRNA from 1 species